AUUGACGUCACACCAUUGCGUCACCGAGCUUGCGCCGGUCCACUCGUUUCAAGUAGUGAUUCAUUAGUCAGUGUGUGCCAGGAAAUUUUGCAUGUUUAAUAGUUAAAAUUGCAGCAAAGAAAACAUGCUGAUUAAAGAAUACCGUGUGACCCUACCCCUCACAGUCGAAGAGGUGAGCUUUCAUUCAUUAUUAGUUUAUUUGCUUACAUAAUUACUUUUGUGAAAAAAAUGCCCAUUGAUAGUUUCAAUUUUAUAAGAAGGUCCAGUUCAUGUAGGCUGA
rnacentral:lncRNA from 1 species